rnacentral:rRNA from 1 species
AUUGAACGCUGGCGGCAGGCCUAACACAUGCAAGUCGAGCGGAUGAGUGGAGCUUGCUCCAUGAUUCAGCGGCGGACGGGUGAGUAAUGCCUAGGAAUCUGCCUGGUAGUGGGGGACAACGUUUCGAAAGGAACGCUAAUACCGCAUACGUCCUACGGGAGAAAGCAGGGGACCUUCGGGCCUUGCGCUAUCAGAUGAGCCUAGGUCGGAUUAGCUAGUAGGUGAGGUAAUGGCUCACCUAGGCGACGAUCCGUAACUGGUCUGAGAGGAUGAUCAGUCACACUGGAACUGAGAAACGGUCCAGACUCCUACGGGAGGCAGCAGUGGGGAAUAUUGGACAAUGGGCGAAAGCCUGAUCCAGCCAUGCCGCGUGUGUGAAGAAGGUCUUCGGAUUGUAAAGCACUUUAAGUUGGGAGGAAGGGCAGUAAGUUAAUACCUUGCUGUUUUGACGUUACCAACAGAAUAAGCACCGGCUAAUUUCGUGCCAGCCGCCGCCGUAAAAC